AUGGAGCCUUCCUCCUCCUGGGGUGCAGGAGCCUUCCUCCUCCUGGGGUGCAGCGGCCUUCCUCCUACGACCGAGGCGUCCUUCCUCCUCCAGAGGCCGCAGGCUUCCUCCUCCGGGCGAGGAGGACUCCCUCCUCCGGGAGCUGCGGCCUUCCUCCUCCAAACGAGGCAUCCUUCCUCCUCGGGGCACUGCGGGCCUCCUCUCGGGGUGCAGCGGGCUUCCUCCUACGAACGAGGCAUCCUUCCUCCUCCCAAUGACGCGUCCUUCUUCUUCCAGGGGCUGCGUCCUUCCUCCUCCAGGGGCCGCAGGCUUCCCCCUCAAGCAAGGCGUCCUUCCUCCUGGGGGGCCGCGGCCUUCCUCCUCGGGGAGCGGGGCCUCCUCCUAGCAGUGCUGCAGGCCUCUUCCUCCAAGCAGGCGUCCAUCCUCCCCGAGAAAGGCGUCCUUCCUCUUCCAGGGCCUGGGGGCUUCCUCCCUGGGGCUGCGGCCUUCCUCCUCGGGCGUUGGCGUCCUUCCUCCUCCAGGCGAGGGGUCCUUCCUCCAGGCACUGCAGACUGCAUCCUCCGGGCGCUGGGGGCGUCCCCCUCCGAGCCAGGCGUCCUUCUUCCUCCAGGCUCUGCGGCCUUCCUCCUCCUAGUGAGGCGUCCCUCCUCCAUGGCCUGUGGGCUUCCUCCUCCGAGCAAGGCGUCCUUCUUCCUCCAGGGGCUGCGUCCUUCCUCCUCGGGGAGCGGGGGGCUUCCUCCUCGCGGCGCUGCAGGCUUCCUCCUCCCAGCAAGGCGUCCUUCCUCUUCCCGGGUCUGGGGGCUUCCUCCUGGGAGCAGGCAUCCUUCCUCCUCGGGGGCUGCGCCCUUCCUCUUCCAGGCGCCGCGGCCUUCCUCCUAUGACCGAGGUGUCCUUCCUCCUCGGGGGCUGCGUCCUUCCUCCUGCGAGCGAGGCGUCCUUCCUCCUCCUUGGAGCACUGGGGCUUCCUCCCCCGGGCGCUGCGGCCUCCUCCCCCGGGCGGGGUCCGCACCCCUGCGGCCCGCUUCUCCCAUCAUCACGCAGGCGGCGCCCCCAGAGGCCGCGGGAAGCAGUCGGCAAGGCCCAGCCCGGCCGCGCCCCGACCCAGCCCGAGCUCCCCCGUGGAGCAGGGACCUGACGCUCGCGCCCUGUGCUUGGACGUUACGAGGACGCGCGUCCCGGAGCCGAACCGCCGAGGUCAGCGCAGCCCCCAGCGCCCCAGGGACCCGACCUCGACGUGACCCAGCGCUGCACCCAGCGCCCAAGGCCCGGCUCCUCCAGGGCACUCGGUCUUCACGAGCAGAGAUAAUGAGAUCAUGCGUACUGAAUAAUGGCACCGAAGACUACAACAAAUCUUGUGAAAACUGAAGCUCUAUCAAAGAGACCAUCGGAAUGUGUCACCGCGGCUUUGGUAAUUGUGUCGUUCCAGAAUCAGUCCGUUAUGGGAUGAGGUUUCAUACAGAAGCCAUUUGGUGCUUGAAUCCACGCUGGCUUUUCCUUUCAUGUUUACUCACGUGUGUGCAUAAAUUAUUAUACAUCAAUUUCCAUCAAGAGAGCCCAUUAUGAAUUCCCAAUAAUCAUUUCAAUAGGAUGAACCUAUCCAGGAGGCAUCAAUCAUCACAGAUAAAAAGGACACGAAGAAUUCAAACUCCGUGUGCCUCCUCACACAUACAGUUAUGGACGAAAUCCCUUAAAUUAAGUAUUGCUUGAAUACUUAAAGUUAAAAUGUCUUUUUUCUCUAGUUUAGAACAGUGAGUGGCCUUUAUUCAAAAGUAUACUCACAUACAUGCCUGCCUGGAUCCUGUACUUCAGGUGGUCCUGCAUCACAAACACAAGCAAAAUAGCGGAUGUAUUAGAGAACAACUGGGGGCCCGUGUUUCUGGGAAUUGUUCAAUGCUACCACAGCACAGCCUGCGAUUCUAAGCUCUUAUUCUACUGAUAAACACCAUCCAGUCCUCGGAGACACAAUUAUCUCUAUCUCUUGCCUUGUAUUCUAGAAACAAAAGGCAGCUGUCCGUGAGGACUGUGCAGGCCUGUGGGCUGUGUCACCGCAAAUGUUGGUAACAAACAUUGACUUCAGAGAGGAGAGUAUGACCAAGUGGUGUUGAAGCGAAAGAGAAGACAAGUCAAUCUACUCCUUAGAUGCUCCGCCUCAAACAGCAUAAAUGCAAUAGGGUCGUAUAUAACAAAGAGCAGAAGCAUCCACUUCUAGGAACGUAUUGCAUAGCAAAAAUUUAGAGUCUGGUUUUUUAAAAAAGAAAAAAUUGGUGCAAGAAUUUUUUUUAUCAAAAUAUUUGUCAUAUAUAUUUUCAAAGAAUAGCCAAGUUUUCCAACAAUUAAGGUAUGGUCAAACAUAAGUAUAUAUCAG
rnacentral:lncRNA from 12 species